CCCCGGUCACCUCUGAGGAGCCGGUAACGGUGACGGGUUGGAGUGUGAGUAACGGUGAGGAGAUGUGGUUCGAGAUUCUCCCUGGCCUCGCCAUUAUGGGGGUGUGCCUGGUCAUCCCCGGGGUGUCCACUGCGUACAUCCACAAGUUCACCAACGGGGGCAAGGAAAAGAGAGUUGCUCGAGUUCAUUACCAAUGGUAUUUGAUGGAACGCGAUAGACGCAUCUCUGGUGUCAAUCGCUACUAUGUGUCCAAGGUAAGUUGACUAAAAGAUUGUGGUCUGGUAAUGCCUUAGCUAAGGUCCUACAGUGCUCAUCUAAUUUGCAUGGUUUUUACUAAUGUAGUAUACAAUCUUUUACAUAUAUAAUGAUCUUUGGUGUAUGUGUAUGUGGGUAGACUUGCUCAUGCAUGGGCAUAUGAAGGGCACAACCAUUUAUUUAUCUGAUUGGUUGGUUGGUUUAUUUGUAGUUUAAGACAAGGAGGGUCUUAAUAUUUAGCCUUUGCUUGCCUGGAACCUGCUAUGUAUACUCAACUGACCUUGAAGUCCUAAAUUGGCCUACCUCUGACUCCUGGGUACUGGGAUAAAAUGUGUAUACUAGCAGGCCUAGGUAUUUAUUUUUAAAUUCAUCUUUAUUCAUAUAUAUGCACCAUGGUAUAAAUGUGGAGGUGAGAGGACAGCUUGGGGGGGUCAGUUCUCUUUUUAUCAUGUGGGUCCCAGGGAUCAAAUUCAGGCCCUCAGUCUUAGUGGCAGGCACUUUUACUCAUGGUUCCAUCUUGUUAGCCCUAGUACCUUAUUUAAAGAAUGGAUAGAGCUGUCAUGGUGACAUGUGCUUUGUAAUCCUAGCCCCUGGGAAGCUAAGGCAGGGGGAACUGUGAUUUUGAGGCUAACUUGGGCCACCUAGUAAGAUACUAGCUCAUAAAACUAAACAUAAAAAAGAAUUGUUAUAGUUUCAUGUGUUUAUGUAUGGUCUGAGUUGGUGAGUGCAGGUUAUAUGUGGAGGUCAGAGGACAAUCUGAAGGCAGUCAGUUCUGCCCACACCCUUGUGAGCUCUGGGUAUUGAACUCAGGUUGACAAGUCUGCAUACAAAGCCAUACCUCUGCCUCUCGCCCUCAUAAUUCUUUAGGUUUCAUAAAUCACGUAAUAGCUGCUCCUACCUCAUGAAUUCCCCCACGGUGAAUGUAGGUAAAUUUUGUGCUCAUUUAAUAGAUGAGAAAACAUGGGUAGAAUGAGUAAAAAGUUCUGCACAGAGGCUCAGUUCAGUGCUGUGUGAGAAUACAUCUCAUGUACACGUAACCUGUGCCUUGGUGUUCCGUGCUUUCAUUUACUCUAUGGUAUAUUUGCCCAGAAGGAAUGUCAUUACAUAUUUCUAGUAGUCGUAAGCAGUUGGUUAUGAAUGGGUUUUUUUGUUUGUUUGUUUUGUUUGUUUGUUUGUUUUUUGCAGGGGUGCUAUUGUCUUUUUUUUUUUGGAGACAAGCACUUGUUACAUAGGCCUGACCGGUCUGGAGCUUGCUGUGUAGCCUACAAUAGCCUCAAACUCUGAGCAAACUUCUGCCCUUGCUUCUAAUAGCCUCAAACUUAGAACAAACUUGCCUUCUGAAUACUGGGAUUAGGAUUACAGAUGUGCACUACUGUGUCCACUUUAGGUCUUUGGAUGUUUAUGGGGCAAAGGUUUUGGAGUUAGGGUCAUUGUACCCUGGCUCUGCUACUACUUGAUUGCCUUAAGGAAGUGAUUUUGUUUUCUUGAGACAGAAUCAGGUGGGUUCUCUAUUUCAUCACCUAUGAAGACAUGCAGUAUUCACCUUGUGUUCAGUACUGUUGUGUGAGACAGUUUACUGUUUGGUCCUCUGAUUCAUGGCAGGGGGCUGCAUAUGAGGACCCAGGAGGUGAACGAUUACUUGACUGUAGCUCCAGUUAGGGUGAAGGAAAGGUCUUUUCAUUUAUAGUGAUAUGUUUGCUGCUGUCAGAAAAUGAAGUAAACCAGGUAGAGGGGUGCAUCCCACAAUCCUAGCAUUUGGGAGGUGGAGGCAGGAGGAUCAGAAAUUCCCCUUUGGUUACAUAGGGAGUUUAAGACAAACUUCAAUUACAUGAGAAGUUGUCAAAAAUAAAACCAGGCAUGGUAUAGUCACACACCUUUAAUCCCAACACUCUAGGGAUAGAGGCAAGUGAAUCUGACUUUGAGGCCAACUAGGACUGUGGAGUCAGAACCUGUCUUAACAGGGGCCUCCUUUAGUGGCCAUUCUUAAUGAUUAUGAAGCCACUUUACUUCCUAUUGUUGCAGUUAGAGAAAUGCAAGAUGUGAAAUCACUUGUUUUAGUAACAGAAUGCUAUUCUGUGACACUGGAAAUUAAACAACAUGCUACAUUUUGAUGGGAACAGAAUCCUCACAUUCUGCUUUUCAAACUGUUUUACAGGGCCUGGAGAACAUUGACUAAGGAAGCAUUUUCCUGGCUGAUGAAAAAAAUUACUCAGCUAUGGUCAUCUGUUCCUGUUAGAAGGCUGUGCAGCAUAUUAUAUACUAUGCACAUGUUAUGAAAUGCAUAAU
rnacentral:lncRNA from 1 species